UUGCAACUUUGGUAACCAAGAUUAAGUUACCCAUGGAGAGUCAAAGGGCUCAAGACAUGCCACUCCGCUCCACAGUGCUCACCGCCACGGUCGCCUUGGUUAGCUGCUCUGGACAGCAAUUACUUGCGAUGAAGUUCCUUGUGCUCCUCACCAUGAGUGUGGCCGUGACCCAGGCAAACAGCGCGCUUCCCGUUGCUGAGGAGAAUAGCUGUUCAGGCCUCAAGAACGAUCGCUCUCUUUUAUCCAGUCUACUGACGGUCGCAGGCUACAAUGACACUUGCGUGGCUGCCGCCCUGGACUCCUGUAGGACGGGGCAAGAGGUCAACCGCUACGCGUCCCUCGUGGAGGAUGCAAGGGAAGUGGUGCAGCAGGUCAGUGUUGCUGUAAACAAAUGGGAAUCUCGGCCACGUCACUGCAAGGACUUACUGGACUCCGGGGACAGUGGGAGCGGCCUGCGCCAGGUAUACCCUUUCCCUGGGCAACCUCACCACCGCGUCACCGUGUUUUGCGACAACACCGUCGACGGCGGGGGUUGGACCGUCUUCCAGCGGCGCACCAGUGAUACCGUCCGCCAAGAUUUCUUCCGCACUUGGAUCGAGUAUCAGUUGGGGUUCGGCGACCUGGAGGGUGAAUUCUGGCUGGGCCUUGACCUUCUGCACCAGCUGACCUCCACCACCUUGCAGGAGCUACGGAUUGACCUGCACGAUUACGAGGGAGAACAUCGGUGGGCUAAGUACGGAUUCUUCCACGUGGGCACACCAGCGACCAAGUUCCGCCUCAGUGUUGGAAGGUACAGCGGUGACGCAGGGGACGGCCUCUCUGGGAAAAGCGGCCAAGCUUUCAGCACCCAUGACGCUGACAACGACGCAUGGGAUGAUAACUGUGCCAAAAAUGUAGAGGAGGCAAUUCUUAUGGCUUUUCCAAAUGCGAUGAAUCCUUACUGAAACAGUAUGGGUUAAAGAGACGCUGUGUAAGCAUCCCAUCCUGCUGAGCCGCUAUACCUACACGUCCCUACUACACCGCCGCUGUACAUCACUUGCAUUCAAUACCGGGGUGCUUAUUGGUAUACUGCUUGCCAUAGUUCUAACCUGAACGGUUACCAAUACGUGGGGAACCACACCACCUACGCUGAUGGCAUCAACUGGUAUAACUGGAGAGGCCACCACUACU
rnacentral:misc_RNA from 1 species